GGACAUAAGAAACUGAGCUACUCGGCUCUAUUUGUUAUAAACUUGGUUCCUUCAUUUACACGUGGGGAAGAUGAGAUUGAGAGGGGAAUUUCUACAAAAAAACACCAUAUACCACGGACACUAACUAUUCCGCCUCUCAUUUGUGAUGUACAUGUUGAUAAACAACUAAAACCAAAAAUCCUCCCACACGUUCAACACCUCUCUGCACCUCCUACUCCGCAGGAUUACCACCCUGCCCCGGCCCAUCAUCAUACAGCUGCAAGGGUCCCACCAACCG
rnacentral:lncRNA from 1 species